CAGAAGGCAGUGGCCGAGAGGAGGAGAAGAAACAUUUGAGUCAUGGACAGACUCUUUCUUGUAUUACUUGGAGGAAGGAUGAGGGCAGAGACCGUGACGUCACGCCCCGCCCUCUUCCCAGAAGCCAACCCAAAACGUUGUCAGCUGCCGAUAAGCCCGACACUCACCCGCCGCAACAUUUUCCCAAUAUCCUUGUUUGCUGGGCCCAAGGCUGCCUGGAGAGGAGUGGCCAUGGAGGCAACAUUUCAACGGUAAACUGAAGAGACUUUCAAGGCCAAUCACCUCAUGAAAUGCUACAAUACUGGGUUACAUCAUGAGCGUGCCAAAUGAUGCCAAAUCGAUGAUGAAAUAUUUCUAGAAAUUCACUUGCACUUCGUCUUCUGUGAGAUCCAAAUGCAAGUAAAUCAAAUCAAUGUAAUACAGAGAUCUCUAUUUAUCAUCAGAAGUGCAGUUAACACUUACUACUGACUACUAGAAGUGAUAAAUGAUGCAGUAAAUGUUGGCGCGUUUUGUGUGCUACAACCUCUUCCUGGCGUGGUCUUUUCUUAUGUACACAAGGACACCAGACAGACCAUGGGCAAAAACACCCAUCAAAAUAGGUUGGCUAUUGGUUGCAUGUCAAUAUAUAGCGAUGGUUGUCUGUGUAUCGUGUUUGAGCGAGAUACAAGGACAAAUACAGAGAAAACUAAUGAUCUUUGCAGUAUGUUAAGACAGUGACACCCCAUCUCUUCACCUUGUAAAGGCUGUCACCAACACGCUUCCACUGCCUCCUUUUUCCUUCAACCUACUGGCAGCUGCGGCACACUCCAGUGGGGCUGUUGUGCAUUAGCAGAGUACGUAGAUAGUUUGUAAUUUCAAGUGUGGGAUCUGUUGUGUGUGUUAGUAGAAUUGGCUGAAAUGUUCUGCUGUGAUAGUAAUGAUUUUCGUGUUGGCUGAUCAAUCCGCCUCUUAUCACAAGAUAAUGUAUAUCAAUGACUUUCCAUGGAGUUGGUGAACACGCCCUUAAUGACCAUCGUUCCAAAGACUACUUUGGUUAAACAACGCCUUCUCUGAACACCAUGACAGAGGAAGUGGCAGCGAUAUCUCUUCAGGAAGCUUCGGGGCAAUCUAGUGGUGUAAUCACACACUUGUCUGCACCACUGACGGGAAACACUCAAAUAACGCAAGCACUGGCGGGACUGCCACUGUGAUUCAUUAUCUUAUACCGCAGGUGUUAAUAACUCCAUCAUAUCUUGACUGUGCAAAGAGAAGAGCCUUCAAUUUGUUUGUACUAAUUUGCAAGAAAAAAUACACAGCAAAA